rnacentral:rRNA from 1 species
UACGUAGGGUGCAAGCGUUAAUCGGAAUUACUGGGCGUAAAGCGCGCGUAGGCGGCUUUGCAAGCCGGAUGUGAAGUCCCCGGGCUUAACCUGGGAACUGCAUUCGGGACUGCAUUGCUAGAGUAUGGGAGAGGGAAGUGGAAUUUCAGGUGUAGCGGUGAAAUGCGUAGAUAUCUGAAGGAACAUCAGUGGCGAAAGCGACUUCCUGGACCAAUACUGACGCUCAUGUGCGAAAGCGUGGGGAGCAAACAGG